rnacentral:rRNA from 1 species
ACCCGCUGAACUUAAGCAUAUCAAUAAGCGGAGGAAAAGAAACCAACAGGGAUUACCUCAGUAACGGCGAGUGAAGCGGUAACAGCUCAAAUUUGAAAUCUGGCUCUUUUAGGGUCCGAGUUGUAAUUUGUAGAAGAUGCUUUGGGUGUGGCUCCGGUCUAAGUUCCUUGGAACAGGACGUCAUAGAGGGUGAGAAUCCCGUAUGUGAUCGGUGGCCUUCGCCCGUGUAAAGCUCUUUCGACGAGUCGAGUUGUUUGGGAAUGCAGCUCAAAAUGGGUGGUAAAUUUCAUCUAAAGCUAAAUAUUGGCCAGAGACCGAUAGCGCACAAGUAGAGUGAUCGAAAGAUGAAAAGCACUUUGGAAAGAGAGUUAAACAGUACGUGAAAUUGUUGAAAGGGAAGCGCUUGCAACUAGACUCGCACGCCGUCGAUCAUCCGGGGUUCUCCCCGGUGCACUCGGCGGUGUUCGGGCCAGCAUCAGUUUGGGUGGUGGGAUAAAGGCCUUGGGAAUGUAGCUCCUCUCGGGGAGUGUUAUAGCCCUCGGUGCAAUGCCGCCUACCCGGACUGAGGACCGCGCUUCGGCUAGGAUGCUGGCGUAAUAGUUGUAAGCGACCCGUCUUGAAACACGG